GACAGAGGUUGCAAACGUUGUUCGGAAUUACUGGGCAUAAAGAGCACGUAGGUGGUCUGCUAAGUCAGGUGUGAAAUCCCCCGGCUCAACCGGGGAAUUGCGCCUGAUACUGGCAGGCUUGAGGUCGGUAGGGGUGAGCGGAACUCCAGGUGGAGCGGUGAAAUGCGUAGAUAUCGUAAGGAAGACCAGUGGCGAAGGCGGAUCUCUGGACAGUUACUGACACUGAGGCACGAAGGCCAGGGGAGCAAACGGG
rnacentral:rRNA from 1 species